GGCUGGGGGUUACUAUGAGCCUGGCAUGUGGGUAGGGGUUCGGUUUGAGUUUCUCCCUAGCACCAGGGACUCCUAGGCCUGUCCCCUACUCACUAAUUCAUCUACAUGGGGGCUGCACAUGCCAGAGCUGGCUUGAACUUUGAGCCCCUGAAGCUGCUGGGAGGGAGAGCCACUGGCUACUGGGUAGACAGAUGUCAGUCUUGUCACAUGGAAGAGGCAGGGCUGGAGUGGGCUGAUGGUAAGCAGUAGGCCUGCCUGGAGGGGAGAUCCCUGCCUGCCCCCUGCUCUUCAUGAAAUGCUGAGAGGGAGGGCUAUUUGCUGAGCCCAGCCCCCCCCACCACCACCCCAGGGUGAAUCAUGGGGCCCCUGGGUGGGGAGAGCUGCAAGAGAUUGGUCAACUGGGCCCUGCUGAGUCACAGUGAGCCCCAGCUGCCCCAAGUCCUGCCUGCUCCUAGCUGGGACUGGUAGCUGCAGGUUCUGAAGGCCAGCACUGACAGGCCGUGAAGGGCAGGGCUGGAGUUGGGGGCACUGGGCUCUGGGGCACCUGGGGACUACAGGGAAGGGUCCCGGUCUCAAGGCUGGUAGGAAUCAGGACUUCGGGUCUGUGGUUGCUGGGGCCACAGGCUGCCAUCCAGGAGUCCUGGGUAAGUGAUGGGGUCAUGGGGGCUGGGGCUACAAGGCAGCUAGGGCUAUAGGAGCUCAGGGCCAGGGAAGCACAUGAGUUCAGGUACCUGGGAAAAGAAAAGGGAACCCCAGUCAGUAUCCCUGAGCCCCAAGAUAAGUGGGUUUAUGCUGAGGGGCACUGUGGUGGUAGGCUGGAAGUUGUGACAUCCAGAGGGAGGGAAGAGUUGGGUCGAAAUAAAUGAAAUGAGUGGAACUUGUGAGUCAGGGGAGGGAAUGUGGCAGUGGGUAGAACCUGAAAAGCUGGGGUGGGGUCUGGGAGUUGGGGGCGAAGCCUCAGCGGUGUAGGGUCGGAGAGCCAGGGCAGGGCGUGGUGAUCUGGGACUGAGUCUGCAGUAGUGAGGUGAGGCGGGGACCUGGGGGCGGGACUUGUGGUACUGAGAUGAAGGCGCCAGGCGCUGGACAGCGGAGCGCCCCUGGUCGUGAAAACCCUACCUCAGAAGAGCCCGCAGUCUUUGAGGUUCUCCUUGAUGAUGAUGUCGGUGACCGCGUCGAAGACGAACUUGACGUUCUGCGUGUCGGUGGCGCAGGUCAUGUGGGAGUAGAUCUCCUUCACGUCGCGCCGCAUGUUGAGUUCCAGGAACUGCACCUUGAUGUAGUUGCCCGCGUCCUCAAUACGUCCUUCUUGUUGAGGAAGAGCACGAUGGACGUGGUGGCGAAGUAGCGGUGGUUGCAGAUGCUGUUGAACAGCACCAUGUCGUAGGCGCUUAGCGCCGCGAUGAAGAUAAUACAGGUUACACCCUCGAAGCAGUGGAUCCACUUCUUGCGCUCCGAGCGUUGGCCGCCCACGUCGAACAUCCUGCGGGGCCGUGGGGGCCUGAACCCGCGCAUUGAGCCCCCUGCAUGCGCCCAGCGGCAUGCCCUCGCCUCCCCAUGGUCAGACGUAGAUGGGACGGGCAUCUGGAGGGGCAGGGCCUCUCUGAGAGCGGGGUGGCCCGGGGUGGCCGGGCGUCUGGUAGGGAUGAGGCCUCUCAGACGCAGUGGGAGUGGGGCCUCGGGGAGGUGAUGCCCGGGCAGGCCCCAGGAGCGACGGCGCGGAGUCAUACCGGAAGUUGAGAUCCUUGAAGGAGAACUGCGUCUCAAUGAUGCCAGUGGUCUUGACUCGUGAGCGCAGCACGUCCUGCUCAGUGGGAACGUAGCCCGGGGUUACCAGGCGCUCCAGGUCCGAGAGGUAGCUGCGGAAGACCCCGGGAUGUGAGUUAGAUGGUGGGGGCGUGACAGGGCCCAGCCCGCGCCCCCACGCCCCACCUGCGCGCUCACUAGCCAGCCGAGUCGUUGAGCUGGUACUCUGAGGCGCGGUCGAAGCAGGCCUGGAUACCCGAGUCCUUCCACAGCCGCUGGAUGAUGUCCGACAUCUCCUUGGGCAUCGUGCCCUCCUCGAUGGUGUCUGCCAUAUGCAUCAGCUUCCGAGCGUCGUCCUGGAGGUGAAGGUAAGGAUAGUGAUCACCGUGGCCCGCGGCCCUGCCCUGUCCCUUUGAUUCCCAGAGUCCACACCCAGCCCGCCUCCCUGCGCACCUGGCGCGCAGAGUCUCCGUAUUGGAUGUUAAGUGUGGUCAUGGCUCGCACAAUGGCCAGGAUGGAUUGCAGCGUGUUGCCGUAGAUGAUGGCAAUGAACUCUAGGCACUCUUCUAAUGAGUACCCAUCCUGGUGAAUAAUCCUGCAGAACGGCAGAGCAGGGUCAAGGCCUUGUGGGCCGGUGGGGAGGGGCAGGCCCCGUACGCGCACCAGCCCCCAGGGGCCUCAGGAUGAGCAGGGGCACUCACUUCAUUUGCUUGACGAUGGUGCUCUUCCCAGACUCGCCGGCACCUGGAAGGGAAGCCGGGCCUCAGAGUCACCCUGUGACCACCCAUCCUUUCUCACCCCAGCAGUGAGCCCCAGGAGAUGCAACCAGCCUGGGUCUGGUGGGUGGACUGAGGGCCAGUGGGCAGAUCUUUAGCAGAAGAGGCCUGGGUGCCAGUCCUAUCCCCAGUCACACCUGCCCCAACCCCAUCCAAAGUAAGAUCUGACAGCCCUGGAGGAAAAGCAUUUGUAAAUGUCAGAAAAGCCACAGAAACGACUAACGAGGGGAAUGAGCAUCCUCAACUCUGCCUCUGAGCCCCACCCCUGCCCUAAGACCCUGCUAUACCAGUACCAGUUGCUGUCAAGUCGAUUCUGACUCAUGGGGGCCCCACGCAAGUCAGGCAGAAGUGUGCCCCGCAGGGUUUCCAGCGGCUGAAUUUUCCGAAGUAGGUCACCGGAGCUUUUUUUCCAGGUGCCCUUGGGUGGACCCGUAUCUCCAGCCUUUGUUAGCAGCCAAGCACGUUAACCAUUUGCUCCACCCAGGGACUCCUGGUGCUAUUGUUAGGUGCCAUCGGGUCAAUUUUGACUCAUAGCAACCCCAUGUGGCAGAGUAGAAUGUCCCCAUAGAGUUUUCUAGGUUGUAAUCUUCGCAGGAGGAGCUCUGGUGGCGCAGUGGCUAAGCGCUUGGCUGCUAAGGAAAGUUGGAGGGUUAAAAAAAAAACAAACCAACUGCUCUGCGGAAGAAAUAGGUGGUAGUCUGCUUCCAUAAAGAUUUACAGCCUUGAAAACCCUAUGGGGCAGUUCUGCUCUGUCCUAUAGGGCCGCUAUGAGUCCGAAUUGACUCGAUGGCAGUGGGUUUGGCUUGGUUUUAAUCUUUACAGGAGCAGAUCUCCAGGUCUUUCUCCCGGGAAGCCGCUGGGUGGGUUGGCAGUCAGUCCUGCGUUUAACCGCUUACACCACCCAGGGCUCGGCAGUCUUUCGUCUGUGAGGCCGAACUAAAUCCUGGAGUGCCACCUUGUGGGAGGAUCUGGUAUUGCAACAUGGGAUUGAACCGGAUCAACGCUUGGUUUUCAUCGGAAGGGGGCUGGGGCAUAUCCAAAAGGCUCAGAAGGAAUUAGCGCCUUUGGGUGGGGAGGAGGACAGAGUUGACUGAACGCCUUGCCCCUGUGAGCACUGGUCACAAUUAAUGGGAUUGCUGGCUUAACCUCUCUGGCUUCCCUGGGGUGCCUUGGCUUCCCUCUGCCCAUCUUGACCUGGCCAAAUGGACCCUGGAGAGCUUGGGUGGAGCCUGCUUGGCCCUCUUAAAAAAGCUUCCUAUUUCCCUUAGGGGGUCGGACAGUGACCAAGAGGCAGGCCUGGAUCAGCAUCACCUUCUCUCAUCACCCAUGGGGCCAUGGAAAUGGCUUAAGCUGCUCUCCACUGGGCCUCAGUGCCCUUCCCCUCGUUUAGCUGCUUUGAAGGUCAACCACCAAUAAAGCUGUGGCACCUGAGGGCCAUUGUCUGUGGGUCCGGGUGGUCCUAGAGACUCCCCACUCCCAGGACUGUGACUUUCUCCUUCCCGAGGGAGCAGCCAUGUUGUGGGGCUCCUAUGGGGUCCCCAGUUUCUGAGUCCCUGCCUAGCAGGCUCAUCAAGCCAAAGGCUGGAGCUUGAGGGAGCCCAGCCAGGGCAGAAAUGUACCUUGUACAAACAUACACACUUUUGUGUAGGGGAGGUUGCCUGAGGCCAGGCCCUCUGUUGGGAAGCAUGGUGGGUCAGGUCUGGCCUUGUCUGGCUGGGACUCCCGCACUGUGCCCUGCCCUGUCACAGGCUCCUCUGCUUCCCAAGGAAUCCCAGCUUCACAGUAGGGCUGCCUGCCUUCCCUCAGGCCACUGACCUGGUGGCCAUGACCCCAUCUGGGCCCAUGCCCCUACCCAGAAGCAGCAGUUUCACGGUUCGAGCAUCCUUCUCAGCAUCCUCUUUUAGCUUCUUUUCCAGCUCCCUCGAGUGCUUCUCCUCAGCGCUGGCUCCAGCCCCCAUGGCCCCAGAAGCAGUUGAAGGGACAGGGUGGGCAGGUGACUCUUCUGUAUGGAGGGGAUCCCCAGAGCCAGGCUCUGGCCAGCCUCUGGCCUUCCCAGAUGCCCUUCUGGUCCAGGGCUGGCAACCAACUGGCUCUCCACAGGCCUGUGCAAGCCCUGGUGGGGGCUGCUUAGUGGGAUUUGGGGGCGGGGGUGCCUAAGAGCCAACCAGAGACAAGGACAGGUGAAUCCAGCUCAGCCCCCCAACCUUUCUAAUCGGGCUGGCGUGGCCCCAAUCCCUUGACUGCUGACUCUGCACCCUCUGUGCCCCACCUCAACCCUCCAGGAGAGGCCUUGGAGAGAGUUCUGCCCCCACCCCAGAGUUGGAAGACAUGUGCAGACCUGAGAAAGGGGUGGAGAGGCCCUUGAGCCAGGGGAUGGGGGCUAGCAAUAGGAUUGUCAUCUUAGGUUGGGUUCUCUAGAGAAGCAAAACCAGUGAAGUGAAUAUAUAUAUACAUGUAUAUAUAUAGAGAGAGAUUUAUCUCAAGGAAAUGGCUCAUGCAGUUGUAGAGGCUGGCAAAUCCUAAGUCUAUGGGUCAGGAGUCAGGCUGGAGACUUCUCCUGACUCAUGUAGGUGCAGGGGCUGACAAACCCAAGAUCAACAGGUCAGAUGGCAGGCCACUGGCUCAUAGGUGGCACAGGCUGACAAAUCUGAGAUCAGCAGGCAAGAAGCCAGGCUACUGGCUCACCAGCUGUGGAGGCUGACAGAUCCCAAGAUUGGCAGGCAAUACGGCAGGCUGCUGGCUCAAGUUCCAAGAACUGAAGGUCAGAUGAUGACGAGCCGGAUGCAGCAUCCAGAGCAAGGAAAACAAACUUUGCCAGAACUUUAUAUAUAUAUAUGGUGCAGGCCACAUGCCUGAGGAAACUCCUUUACAACUGAUUGGCUGAUCGUAUCAGAUCACAUUACAGAGGUGAUUCUAUUAGUAUUACUUAUGGGAAAUCACAAAACUGAGGAUAAUUACAUCAGAUCACAAAAUGGAGAAUAAUUAUGUAAUACUGAGACUCAUGACCUAGCCAAGUUGACAUUUAACAUUAACCAUUACAAGGGUGAAGAGGGUGAAGCAUGGAGCACCUGUGGCCUGCCCAGCACGGGGCUCAGCCCUACUCACACCAACCCUGGGGGAACAUGUGCCCGUAUCAUCAGCCCCAUUUUCCUCAUGAGGAAGUAGAUGUACAGGGGGGUCACACACCGGGAGGUGGUUGAGCUGGGCUGGAUGACUCUGCACCAGGGUUCCGUAUCCUGCAGGAGCUCAAGAGGAAAAAUGUGGGCACUGCAGCACUGCUUCUGCCCAGUGCCUAGGGUUAGGUCUGACCCGGGUAGGGACUCUAAUGCUUCCUGGUGGAAGAACAGUGGAUGUGCAUGGCCCGUGUGUUUGUCCUUCACUGGCAUCAACAAGGCAAUGACUUGACACAUUUGUGGGUAUAUGCCUGUGUGUACACGUGUGCCUGUCCUGUAUGUUUGUGCAUGCAGGUGUGCUGUUACAUGCAGUGUGUGCACGUGCCUGUGUAUGUAUACCUGUGUGUGCACAUGUAACUGUAUGUGUGGGCAUGCUUUUAUGCAUUUCUCUUCAUAGGCAUAUGUGCUUGUAUGCAUACUUUGCACAGGCUGGUGAGAGUUCAUGUGUGUGCAUGUGUGUGCACAGCAUGCAAAUGCAUGUAUAUGUGCAAUGUGUGAGUGCAGAUGAGCGUUCACUUGCAUGUGUGUGUGCCUUGUGCAUGUGGAAAUGUUUGUGUACGCACGUAUUCCUGUGUGUGCCUGUGCAUGAGUGAGCCUAUGCAAGCAUGUUCCUGUGUGCAUGUACGUUUUUGCCUGUGUGUAUGUGUGUCCUCGUGCCCAUGCCUAUGUGUACACGAGUAGUUGGGUGCAACAAAAUCUCUGACCUGCAGAGGUGGCCAGGCUCUUCCAGAGAAUAUUUUGGAGGCCUGUUGUCAGAUAGGGAAACUGAGUCCCAGAGCAGGUCAGGCAUUCUUAAGGGCAUGGAAGAGCGGGGUUCACCUGGUCUGCUCUGUCCCAUGUGUCCCCUGAAGCCUGCCUGGGAGUACCUUUACAGCCUGCCUACCUCACCCAAGGAGUCUGGCUUCCAGGUAUAUAUUCAGGUGGGCCAGGGUGCACCGCUGUGCAGGAGUGAUUUAUGUUGAGCAUGCAAUGUUGAGCUCCUAGGCUCUGAAGACCAUCCCCCCAUCAUAAGACCCAACCUCUGGGCUAUUAAGGCCUCUCCUGGGGCCCCUGUGUCUUCUGGAUGGACUCCCUCCCCAGAAACCUGGCUGCUUUUUUUCACUCAACUCUGCAGCAGACCUGAGAGACCACGAGGGGGUGCCAGGGCCCCAGACAUGGAGCAUCAAAGGCUGGCUGACCAUAGGGGAUCAUGUGGCAAGUGGAAUACUGGCUCCUACCAUGGGCUUGGAAACCCUGGCUGUUAACCAAGAGGUCAGAGGUCGGCACUUCGAAAUCUGCCAGAUACUCCUUGGAAACUCUAUGGGGCAGUUCUACUCUGUCCUAUAGACUCGACAUCAGUGGGAUACCAUGGGCUAGCUGGCACCUUGUUCAGUGAGGGCAGAUCUAUCUGGAAGAGAGACUCAUUUGUGUCACUUUCAGCCUUCUAGCUCCAUUCACCCUCCAGACACCUGCAUUGUGAGGGGGCCAGAGGGGGUGGUGGUCUCUGCAGUCCCUUACAGUGCCCAGGGUGCAGGGCUUAGGCAACCAACCAAAACCUGGUUUCUGCAUAUUGGGUUUGCUUAAAGUGGGGGCCAACUCACAAUCUUCUGCUGGUGGCUGUGGGGGUGGGGGUCUAUGGGCCUUCCCAGCCCCACCUCCUCCUCUCCAGCAACUCCCACCUCUGGGUAUUUGCUCAUGCUGGGUCCUUGUGGGAGGGGUCUGGAAGGACAGGGAGGGAAUUAGGUUCUUUUGCUGGGACACCUGGAGGACUGGGAGGGUUUCUGCUUUGUCUUGCCAAUUCCAAGUCCUUGGUGGUCCACACAAGGCUGGGCCCAAAGAUGGAUGAGAGGGCAGUGGUGGAAUAAACGACUGAACUGUUAAAUAAGCAAACGGAAACCAAGGCAAAAUCUGGGAACUGGUGGUCGGGCCAUAUUGGAGGUGGCAGGAACUGGAAGGGCAGGACCUAGGACUUGGACUAAGCCAUUGCCUCCCUAUCCCUCAAGGAGAGAAGCCAGAGUCCGGUCU